GAUGAACGCUGGCGGCGUGCCUAAUACAUGCAAGUCGAGCGAACAGACGAGGAGCUUGCUCCUCUGACGUUAGCGGCGGAAGGGUGAGUAACACGUGGAUAACCUACCUAUAAGACUGGGAUAAAUUCGGGAAACCGGAGCUAAAACCGGAUAAUAUAUUGAACCGCAUGGUUCAAUAGUGAAAGACGGCUUUGCUGUCACUUAUAGAUGGACUCGCGCCGCAUUUGCUAGUUGGUAAGGUAACGGCUUACCAAGGCAACGAUUCGUCGCCGACCAGAGGGGGGGAUCGGCAACACUGGAACUGAGACCCGGCCCAGACUCCUACGGGAGGCAGCAGGAGGAAAUCUGCCGCAAUGGGCGAAGGCCUGACGGAGCAACGCCGCGUGAGUGAUGAAGGUCUUCGGAUCGUAAAACUCUGUUAUUAGGGAAGAACAAAUGUGUAAGUAACUAUGCGCGUAUGGACGGUACCUAAUCAGAAAGCCACGGCUAACUACGU
rnacentral:rRNA from 1 species